rnacentral:rRNA from 1 species
AGGACGAACGCUGGCGGCGUGCUUAACACAUGCAAGUCGAGCGGAAAGGCCCUUCGGGGUACUCGAGCGGCGAACGGGUGAGUAACACGUGAGUAAUCUGCCCCUAGCUCUGGGAUAGCUCCGGGAAAACCGGGAUUAAUACCGGAUACGACUGCUACGGACAUCUGUGGUGGUGGAAAGAACUUCGGCUAGGGAUGAGCUCGCGGCCUAUCAGCUUGUUGGUGGGGUAACGGCCUACCAAGGCGACGACGGGUAGCCGGCCUGAGAGGGCGACCGGCCACACUGGGACUGAGACACGGCCCAGACUCCUACGGGAGGCAGCAGUGGGGAAUAUUGCGCAAUGGGCGAAAGCCUGACGCAGCGACGCCGCGUGGGGGAUGAAGGCCUUCGGUUGUAACCCCUUUCAGGAAGGACGAAGCCACUCGGGUUAAUAGCCAGAGGGUGACGGUACUUCCAGAAGAAGCCCCGGCUAACUACGCGCCAGCAGCCGCGGUAA